GACGAACGCUGGCGGCGUGCUUAACACAUGCAAGUCGAACGGAAAGGCCCUGCUUUUGUGGGGUGCUCGAGUGGCGAACGGGUGAGUAACACGUGAGUAACCUGCCCUUGACUUUGGGAUAACUUCAGGAAACUGGGGCUAAUACCGGAUAGGAUCUCCUGCUGCAUGGUGGGGGUUGGAAAGUUUCGGCGGUUGGGGAUGGACUCGCGGCUUAUCAGCUUGUUGGUUGGGUAGUGGCUUACCAAGGCUUUGACGGGUAGCCGGCCUGAGAGGGUGACCGGCCACAUUGGGACUGAGGUACGGCCCAGACGCCUACGGGAGGCAGAAGUGGGGAAUAUUGAACAAUGGGCGGAAGACUGAUGCAGCAACGCCGCGUGCGGGAUGACGGCUUUCGGGUUGUAAACCGCAUUCGCCUGUGACGAAGCGUGAGUGACGGUAAUGGGUAAAGAAGCACCGGCUAACUACGUG
rnacentral:rRNA from 1 species